AUGUCUACCAGAAGAUCUCGUUCGAGACAAUCUGGUGUUUCCACUGAGAUCUCUGAUGAUCAAAUUAAUGAUCUCAUCACCAAGUUGCAACAACUUAUCCCUGAACUUGCAAGGCGUUCCAACAAGGUUUCAGCUGCUAAAGUAUUGCAAGAGACUUGCAAUUACAUCAAAAACUUGCAUAGAGAGGUUGGUGAUUUAAGUGACCGAUUAUCACAACUUUUGGACACUAUAGACCCUAACACUCCUCAAGCAGCUAUCAUUAGGAGCUUACUUAUGUGA